rnacentral:rRNA from 1 species
AGAUUGAACGCUGGCGGCAUGCCUAACACAUGCAAGUCGAACGGGAGUAGCAAUACUCUAGUGGCGGACGGGUGAGGAAUACGUAGGAAUUUGCCCUUAAGUGGGGGAUAACCCGGGGAAACCCGGAUUAAUACCGCAUGACCUCGAAAGAGCAAAGUGGGGGAUCGCAAGACCUCACGCUUUUGGAGAAGCCUACGUCGGAUUAGCUAGUUGGUGAGGUAAUGGCUCACCAAGGCGACGAUCCGUAACUGGUCUGAGAGGAUGGUCAGUCACACCGGAACUGAGACACGGUCCGGACUCCUACGGGAGGCAGCAGUGGGGAAUAUUGGACAAUGGGCGCAAGCCUGAUCCAGCAAUGCCGCGUGUGUGAAGAAGGCCUUCGGGUUAGUAAAG